GAUGAACGCUGGCGGCGUGCCUAAUACAUGCAAGUCGAGCGAACAGACGAGGAGCUUGCUCCUCUGACGUUAGCGGCGGACGGGUGAGUAACACGUGGAUAACCUACCUAUAAGACUGGGAUAACUUCGGGAAACCGGAGCUAAUACCGGAUAAUAUAUUGAACCGCAUGGUUCAAUAGUGAAAGACGGUUUUGCUGUCACUUAUAGAUGGAUCCGCGCCGCAUUAGCUAGUUGGUAAGGUAACGGCUUACCAAGGCAACGAUGCGUAGCCGACCUGAGGGGGUGAUCGGCCACACUGGAACUGAGACACGGUCCAGACUCCUACGGGAGGCAGCAGUAGGGAAUCUUCCGCAAUGGGCGAAAGCCUGACGGAGCAACGCCGCGUGAGUGAUGAAGGUCUUCGGAUCGUAAAACUCUGUUAUUAGGGAAGAACAAAUGUGUAAGUAACUAUGCACGUCUUGAUGGUACCUAAUCAGAAAGCCACGGCUAACUACGUG
rnacentral:rRNA from 1 species